rnacentral:rRNA from 1 species
AGUGAACGCUGGCGGUAGGCCUAACACAUGCAAGUCGAACGGCAGCACAGUAAGCGCUUGCUCUUACGGGUGGCGAGUGGCGUACGGGUGAGGUAUACAUCGGAAUCUACUUUUUCGUGGGGGAUAACGUAGGGAAACUUACGCUAAUACCGCAUACGACCUACGGGUGAAAGCAGGGGAUCUUCGGACCUUGCGCGAUUGAAUGAGCCGAUGUCGGAUUAGCUAGUUGGCGGGGUAAAGGCCCACCCAGGCGACGAUCCGUAGCUGGUCUGAGAGGAUGAUCAGCCACGCUGGGACGAAGACACGGACAAGAUUGCUACGGGAGGCAGCAGUGGGGAAUUUUGGACAAUGGGCGCAAGCCUGAACAAGCCAUACCGCGUGGGUGAAGAAGGCCUUCGGGUUGGAAAGACCUUUGGUUGGGAAAGACAAGCAGCAGGUUAAAACCGCGCUGUUCUGACGGUACCAAAAGAAUAAGCACCGGCUAACUUCGUG